rnacentral:rRNA from 1 species
GGCGAACGCUGGCGGCGGGCUUAACACAUGCAAGUCGAACGGAAAGGCCCUGCUUUUGUGCUGUUCUCGAUUGGCAAACGCGUGCGUAACAGGUGAGUAACCGGCCCUUCACUUUGGGAUAACUUCAGGAAACUGGGGCUACUACCGUAUAGCAUCCCCUGCUGCAUGGUGAGCGUUGGAACGUUUCGGCUGGGGGGGAUGGACUCGCGGCUUAUCAGCUUGUUGGUGGGGUAGUGGCUUACCCAGGCGUUCACGGGUAGACGGCCUGAGAGGGUGACAGGCGACACUGGGACUGAGAUACGGCAGCGACUCCUAAGGGAGGAAGAAGUGGGGAAGAUUGCACAAUGGGCGGAAGCCGGAUGAAGCAACGCCGCGUGUUGGAUAGCGGCUUUGGGGUUAUAAAAAGGUUUCGCGUGUGACGAAGCGUGAGUGACGGUAAUGGGUAAAGUAGCACCGGGUAAAUAUGUU